AUGACUGAAAGUCAACUAUAUUGGACAAAAAGUCAACUAUGGUCAACAUACAGUCAAACAUCAAGAUUUUUGGUCAAAAUCAACAUUUUGAAGUCAAAUUCAUCAUUUGAUCAAGGGUUUAUCAUGAUUCAUCAAGGAAAAUGCUCAAAUUAUCAAAAGUCAAAAGUUACAAAAUUAGGAUUUUCUUAA